GAUGAACGCUGGCGGCGUGCCUAAUACAUGCAAGUCGAGCGAACGGACGAGAAGCUUGCUUCUCUGAUGUUAGCGGCGGACGGGUGAGUAACACGUGGAUAACCUACCUAUAAGACUGGGAUAACUUCGGGAAACCGUAGCUAAUACCGGAUAAUAUUUUGAACCGCAUGGUUCAAGAGUGAAAGACGGUCUUGCUGUCACUUAUAGAUGUAUCCGCGCUGCAUUAGCUAGUUGGUAAGGUAACGGCUUACCAAGGCAACGAUGCAUAGCCGCCUGGAGAGGGUGACCGGCCAAACUGGAACUGAGCCACGGUCCAGACUCCUACGGGAGGAAGCAGUAGGGAAUCUUCCGCAAUGGGCGAAAGCCUGACGGAGCAACGCCGCGGGAGUGAGGAAGGUCUUCGGAUCGUAAAACUCUGUUAUUAGGGAAGAACAUAUGUGUAAGUAACUGUGCACAUCUUGACGGUACCUAAUCAGAAAGCCACGGCUAACUACGUG
rnacentral:rRNA from 1 species